CUCCAUUCAUCUCUCUGCA
rnacentral:misc_RNA from 1 species